GUAAUAACAUGACCAUAUACAGGGAGUACCAGUACUGAGUCAAUGUUCAGGGGUACGAGGUAAUAACAUGGCUAUAUACAGGGAGUACCAGUACUGAGUCGAUGUGCAGGGGUACGAGGUAAUAACAUGGCUAUAUACAGGGAGUACCAGUACUGAGUCGAUGAGCAGGGGUACGAGGUAAUAACAUGGCUAUAUACAGGGAGUACCAGUACUGAGUCGAUGAGCAGGGGUUCGAAGUAAUAACAUGGCUAUAUACAGGGAGUACCAGUACUGAGUCGAUAUAGGUAGGGGUAGGGGUAAAGUGACUAGACAACAGGAUAGAUAAUAGACAGUAGCAGCAGUAUACUGUAGGUAGGGUUAGUGACUAGACAACAGGAUAGAUAAUAGACAGUAACAGCAGUAUACUGUAGGUAGGGGUAAAGUGACUAGGUAACAGGAUAGAUAAUAGACAGUAGCAGCAGUAUACUGUAGGUAGGGUUAGUGACUAGACAACAGGAUAGAUAAUAGACAGUAACAGCAGUAUACUGUAGGUAGGGGUAAAGUGACUAGGUAACAGGAUAGAUAAUAGACAGUAACAGCAGUAUACUGUAGGUAGGGGUAAAGUGACUAGACAACAGGAUAGAUAAUAGACAGUAGCAGCAGUAUACUGUAGGUAGGGUUAGUGACUAGACAACAGGAUAGAUAAUAGACAGUAACA
rnacentral:lncRNA from 1 species